GUACUUAAACUCAAUGUCUGGUAUUAUUAAAAAGUGAACUAUGCCUGAUCAGGUUGAAGUCAGGGGAAACCCUGAUGGAGGACCGAAGCAGUUCUGACGUGCAAAUCGAUUGUCAGAAUUGGGCAUAGGGACGAAAGACCAAUCGAACCAUCUAGUAGCUGGUUCCCUCCGAAGUUUCCCUCAGGAUAGCUGGAGCACGCAACGUUUCGAAUCCUAUUCUUAUCUGGUAAAGCGAAUGAUUAGAGGCCUUAGGUUCGAAAUGAUCUUAACCUAUUCUCAAACUAUAAAUGG
rnacentral:ncRNA from 1 species